rnacentral:tRNA from 1 species
GCCGGGGUGGCGGAACUGGCAGACGCACUGGACUUAAAAUCCAGCGACCUUAACGGGUCGUGCGGGUUCGACUCCCGCCCUCGGCACCA